UGAAGUCGUUAACAAGGUUUCCGUAGGUGAACCUGCGGAAGGAUCAUUGAAUAUGCAAACCACAACACGCACUCUCUACUUGUGUACCGACGUUAGGUCAACACGCGCAAGCGUGUGGCCUACUAACCUACACACCAUUGACCAACCACUGAUCAAACCAAACUCUGAAGCUUUGGCUGCCGUUAACCGGCAGUUCUAACAAAGAACAACUCUCAACAACGGAUAUCUUGGCUCUCGCAACGAUGAAGAACGCAGCGAAAUGCGAUACGUAGUGUGAAUUGCAGAAUUCCGUGAACCAUCGAAUCUUUGAACGCAUAUUGCGCUCGACUCCUCGGAGAAGAGCAUGUCUGCCUCAGCGUCGGUUUACACCCUCACCCCUCUUCCCUAACGGGAGGCGCCUGUCGUGCUUGCUAAAGCCGGCAGCAGGGGUGGAUCUGGCUCUCCCAAUUGGACUCACCUCCGAUUGGGUUGGCUGAAGCACAGAGGCUUAAACUGGGACCCGAUUCGGGCUCAACUGGAUAGGUAGCAACACCCUCGGGUGCCUACACGAAGUUGUGUCUGAGGACCUGGUUAGGAGCCAAGCAGGAAACGCGUCUCUGGCGCGUACUCUGUAUUCGACCUGAGCUCAGGCAAGGCUACCCGCUGAACUUAAGCAUAUCACUAAGCGGAGGAAAAGAAACUAACCAGGAA
rnacentral:rRNA from 1 species